UAGGGAAUCUUCCACAAUGGGCGAAAGCCUGAUGGAGCAACGCCGCGUGUGUGAUGGAGGGUUUCGGCUCGUAAAACACUGUUGUAAGAGAAGAAUGACAUUGAGAGUAACUGUUCAAUGUGUGACGGUAUCUUACCAGAAAGGAACGGCUAAAUACGUGCCAG
rnacentral:rRNA from 1 species